rnacentral:rRNA from 1 species
CCCUUAGAUGUUCUGGGCCGCACGCGCGCUACACUGACGAAGUCAGCGAGCAUGUCCUACGCCGACAGGUGCGGGGAAUCUUGUCAAACUUCGUCGUGAUGGGGAUUGAUUAUUGAAAUUCUUGAUCAUCAACGAGGAAUUCCUAGUAAGCGCAAGUCAGCAGCUUGCGUUGAUUACGUCCCUGCCCUUUGUACACACCGCCCGUCGCUACUACCGAUUGAAUGGUUUAGUGAGAUCUUCGGAUUGGCGCCACUGCGGCUCAGCAAUGGGCUCGGUGGACGCCGAAAAGUUGAUCAAACUUGAUCAUUUAGAGGAAGUAAAAGUCGUAACA